CGGAAACGGACGCUAAUACCGCAUACGUCCUACGGGAGAAAGCGGGGGAUCUUCGGACCUCGCGCCAUUAGAUGAGCCUAGGUCGGAUUAGCUAGUUGGUGAGGUAAUGGCUCACCAAGGCGACGAUCCGUAACUGGUCUGAGAGGAUGAUCAGUCACACUGGAACUGAGACACGGUCCAGACUCCUACGGGAGGCAGCAGUGGGGAAUAUUGGACAAUGGGCGAAAGCCUGAUCCAGCCAUGCCGCGUGUGUGAAGAAGGUCUUCGGAUUGUAAAGCACUUUAAGUUGGGAGGAAGGGUAGUAACCUAAUACGUUGCUACUUUGACGUUACCGACAGAAUAAGCACCGGCUAACUUCGUGCCAGCAGCCGCGGUAAUACGAAGGGUGCAAGCGUUAAUCGGAAUUACUGGGCGUAAAGCGCGCGUAGGUGGUUCAGUAAGUUGGAAGUGAAAUCCCCGGGCUCAACCUGGGAACUGCUUUCAAAACUGCUGAGCUAGAGUACGGUAGAGGGUGGUGGAAUUUCCUGUGUAGCGGUGAAAUGCGUAGAUAUAGGAAGGAACACCAGUGGCGAAGGCGACCACCUGGACUGAUACUGACACUGAGGUGCGAAAGCGUGGGGAGCAAACAGGAUUAGAUACCCUGGUAGUCCACGCCGUAAACGAUGUCAACUAGCCGUUGGAAUCCU
rnacentral:rRNA from 1 species